GCCGUGUUUGUUCCGGCAGCCGGGGCGCCCUCUGCCUCCUCAACCUCCAGGCUGCCUGAGCUGCUGCUCCUCCGCGACCCGCAGCUCACGGAGAGGGGAUUCCUGGGGUGCAGCGCAGGAUUUGCCCUUUCAGUGCUUGCCCCAGGCCUCUCCUGGCCGCCAUCCUCGAGGGCUGUGGCGACUUCCGAUCCGCCUAGGCUCGAGAGGGGCCUUGUGCUGUUGCACUGAAGCCGGUCACUGAGAGGGGACUCCCCAAAAUGACAAGAGCGGCAAGGCCUCCAGAUUGUGGUCUAGGUGGAGACCAAGUGCUUUCUUGGAGCUACCUGCCUGACACUUUGCAGGAGCGUUUCCGUAUCAGGUGCCCACAGAGACAGAGCGGUGAGUCACCGCUGCUUCUGGAGCAUGGCUGUGGGCUGUCUGGAGGGAAAUCCACUUCCCUCCCACAGUGACAUGGUCAAUAACUGGUGUUGCCGAGAACAUGAACAGCUUCACAGGCCCCAUAUAAAAGGCUGAAUCCCAGGACAUUCCUCCACAGGAAGUGUGGUCUGUGGUCCAACAUCAACAACUUCUGGCAUCUUUCCAGUCAACUUCCUCACUCUCUCUCCUUCCCAGAGAGAAUCAUAUUCUCAUUAGUCUUCCAAGGAUGAAGACAUCCUUGGAAUGAGCCCUCACCUCAAAUUGGCCAGAGUUGUUACUGGACUUGGAGCCAUGCCUCUGGAAGGUUCCUUACCUUGUCACGCUGAGACUCUGAUGAAUUACUGAAACAGGGAAGAAGUUCCAUAAAGUUACCAGACUCUCAAAGAUGUCCUCCAUGCAGGAAGGUUACAAGGCCAAUAUGUGAUAGACAAUCUCAGUCAAUAUCCUAGAAAAAGGACAAAGACCAACUGAUGACCUCGGAUCGGAGGCUUCCUGUUCAGG
rnacentral:lncRNA from 1 species